UCCCAUACCAAGUAUACAAAUGAUGCCA
rnacentral:piRNA from 1 species